CCGGGCUCCGGAGCAGGUUUGCGCGGCGGGGAUCAGAGGCGGGAGCGGGGAGGGGCGCCUGGAGCGCGCGUCCCAGAGCGGCCCCCGAGUCCUCUAACCCGGAGGAGGACCGCCAGGCUCGGGGCCGGAGCAGGUACCGCUCGCCAGCACCCCCCCCCCCCCCGGGCCACCGCCCCCGCUGCGGACGCUCCAUCUAAGUCUGGAGACGCCUUAGAACCACCCAAGAAGAGAGACGCUGAGGCCACGCGGAAUCCCGGCGAGGUGAGGGAGGGAGGUGACACGACUUCCUUUGUGAUGUCUCCUACGGCGAUGACGCGGAGACCUUGAGGUUUCCCGGUAGAUACUUAGGCUGGAAGCAACAUUGUGCUGGUUCUGAGACCGAGACACAAACCACGCCGGGACGCAGCCGCUCGGGGGGUCAGGCGGCCCGAGACGCCCUCCCCAGGCCCACAGGACCGCGCGCCCAGGCGCCCUCCUCCCGCCCGGCCACCGCGCUGGGGGGCUCCGCGAGCGCCCGGACCUCCCUUCUGCGGUGGGAGAUGAGAUGGAUCAUUGCUACGGAUUGUCGGAGGUCCAGGUUUGAAGGACCUCUAGUACAACAUUAACUAGGAGUGGUAAUGGGGACAUCCUUGCCUUGCUCCUGACCGUAGGAGAGAAGCUAGUUUCCCACCAUGAGUCACACACACAGAGAGAGAGAGAGAGGCAGAGACACAGGCAGAGGGAGAAGCAGGCUCCAUGCACCGGGAGCCCGACGUGGGAUUCGAUCCCGGGUCUCCAGGAUCGCGCCCUGGGCCAAAGGCAGGCGCCAAACCGCUGCGCCACCCAGGGAUCCCUAAAUAUAAGUAUUUCUAUCUCUAUUUCACAUAUGAGAUCAUUGAAAUCAAGUUAACUAAGUUAUUUAAGGUCAUGCAGCUAAAAACUCUGGAAAGCCAGAAUCAAAUCAGUUUUGCAGUUGUCUAAUGUCCAAGCACCAAGGCGCCUUGGGAGCCUGCCUCCUGGAAGACCACGUUUGGGCAAGUUGCCCAGCAAUGCAGUCUUUGGUUUUGGGCCUUUGAGAUGCUUUUUUAGGAAACACUUUUAAAGGGAUCUCUUGGUGGCACUAAGAUAAUUAACCUCCCUUGAUGAUCCAAGGCACCUCCAUCUGUACCAAAUUUGCCUUCGUGGUGCACCAAUAAGAUUCUACUGUUAGUUGCAGAGUCACUAUUGCUCUCUGGGAUGCACCAACUAAAUCAGAUGGAAAAGCUGGAAGAAAUAGGAAGAUUUCUGUUCCAGAAAGAGUUGGCUGGUGGCUGGUACAUUCUUUCCCCUUAUCCCACACUUUUGUGGUGAGAAAAAGUAUGCUUUGCUGAGAGGUGAGCAGGAGGAAAAGCAGUUGGCUUGGCAGAUGAAGCAGGAGUGAUUCUUCCCAACUGAGGCCCACUGAGGGAGGGCUGGCUCAUCUCAUUGCCCAUCACAUUCCACAGAGGGAAAUCAGCAGGGAAACAGUGACAUCAUGUCCAUGUCUCUGAGCAGCUGAACAAUUCUGUGGCUCCUGACCGGUGUGGAAAGCAUGUGCAGGUAGUCAUAAUGCAGAACCCUGGACGUCCAGGGUCAUCACCACAUUGCUUCUCCCUGGAGCCCUCCAGAGCAGUCCACACAAACACAUAUGUGAAUACCUAGUAAGAGACUGUGAUGGGUCCUUAAUCUCAGAAGUGUACAUUAGUAGGAUUAAUAAUGGAGCACAGCACAGGGUAGAUGGGGGAGCAUGGUGCAGGUUGGUGAGGAGAAUGAUGUGAAGUCAGUGGGAAGCAUGUGUUACAUAGUGGGACGAAUGAUGUGAGGUUAGUGGGGAGCACAGUGCUGGGCAGUGGGGCGCAUGGUGCGGGGUUGGUGGGGUGUGGAGUUAGGAGGCCAAGCACACAAGGAGGCAUUGCAACAUUCACUGGGGUUUGGGGAUUCACAGAGCCAGGGUCAGGACACACGGAGGCAGCCAGGGAGGAUGUGCCUGGGAUGGUGCACCUCACAGCCAGGCAGGCGGGCAGGGCAGCCGGCAGGGAUGCUCAUGGUGAGCUGAGAGGAUGCUGCAGGAGGCUAAGUGGAAACCAGCCAUCACACAGGAUGACAGUGACAAGCAAAAUGCAUGGGGACAAGGGAGAGAGACUGGCAGUUUGCUGGCAGGUCUGCUAACCCUGGCAAAGCUCCUCAACAGCUUUCCAUUGCCCUUGGGGUUAUUGGCUGGAGCAACUCGUGUGGCACAGGGCUGCUUCUGCCCACACGUCCUCCCUCCGUGUGCUUCCCGAGUGGGUAACUCUUCCUUCUCUGAUUUGCAGCGUACUCUGUGGGCCAAAGUCCUUUAGACCUGCAUUGCGGGGCAUCUUCUGCCUGGGACCCUGGCUGCCCCGUUCCAUCCCACCAACCCUGCACAGUGUCCCAGCUGCUGGAAUGCUUUCUCUGCCCCAGCAGACCUAACUCAGGGGUUCCAUCCAUGGGCUUGGUGCCCUGAGUUGUCAGGACACAGAACCCCGGAAGCACAUGCCCAGCAUUCCCGGCGCGUGGCAGAGGAGCGAGUAUGCGGAAGGCUUUGAGAUGGUGAAACUCAGCUUCAUCACGACCACCCACAGGCUGGAGGAAGAUGAAAGACGCUCUCCAAGAUUAGGGACCACAGGCUGAGUUGCACCAGGGGCUCCGCCAGCUGGAAGCCAGCCCUGAAGAUCACAGGAUCUCAGAUCUGAGGGGAGCAGAAAGGUCUUGCCCAGCUCCAUGUGCGAUGCUGCCACCGCCCUUCACCCGCCCAUCCUCCUCUGCAGCCCCAAGAACCCCCCUCUCUCAUCCUGCUCCCUGGAGCCUGUCGGGUCAGUUCAGGAAACAAACAUACUAGCUAUCCAACCUGGAAGCAAUGAAUAAUCGAAAAUUAGAGCCAAUCGUCCAGGAAAAAGAGGAGGAAUAUGGUCACGCCUCUGGAGAGUCAUGUUUUCUAUGCAGCAGAAAAUGCAUAGGGAUGGAGAUAAACUCCGGCAGGUAUUCAGGGCUAUUCUGUGUCAUUCCCUUGUAGCAGAGUGAAUCUGCUUCAAGACCUUCCUGCCCUGGGACUUUGGGUCACGCACCACCACCCUCACCUCCCCAGCAUGCCAGUUUUGUCUGGCCAGGCAGGCAGGGGCUAGGCAUCUGGAGAGGCUCUUCUGGAAUGGAGUACCUGCUUCGCCACCACAGGGCCAGAACUUCCUGGAGGGGACCCUAUGCCCACUGAAGAUUCAGACCCCUUCUUUCUUAACACUUUGGGUAUAAGUAGUAGUUGCUCCAUAACUACAGGAAAAAACAACCCUCCCAGUAGACCCCUCUUAAACAUCAAGCUAUGUGCUACUUAGCACUGUUUGCAGAGUUCUCAGAGUAGAGGACAAAGUCCUUCCCAUGACUCUCCAACAGAGUACAAAUGUUCCAGCAUUUGUCCAGGAGAGGAAUUCAAAAGGAAAAAAUUUUAAAAAUGGAAAAAAUCAUGAUACACCAAAAUAUGCAUUUUGGAUAGCAUUAUUUGUAAUAGUGAAAAAUAUAAACAACCAAAUGUCCAAGAGGGAGAUUACUAGGUGGGCUGUGGUAAAUCCUCAUGCCAGAUGAUCCUAAAACAAUAAACAUGAUACUUAUCAAGAGCUAACAACAUGCACUCAUCUAUCCAUUGAGUUACAGUAAAGUGUUCUGUGUAUUCUGUUCCAGCAAAUAAGAUCAUACACAUAACAUAUGAUAAUAGUUUUUUUUUUCUUGUGCUACAAUAUAAAAGGCCUCAAAGAAAAUAGGGCAAAAAUGUUCACCAUGGUCUUCUCUGGGUGAUGGGACUCUAAGUGAUUUCUUCUUUUUUUUCCGUUUGUUUUUUAUUUUCCAAAUUUCCUGUAACGAGCAUUUUAUACCAGGAAACUCCCAAUAGGAUGUUGGCUGCACUUUGUAUGUAGCUUCUGCUUGUGUGUGUGUUGACUGCAGUUACUCUGGCAUCACUUCCUGUGUGCAUUACCUCCUCCACCACACAGUAUAUUUCUGCACAAACCAGUAAUGACCUGGGGUCCCCACCAGGGCACAGGGCUCUGCACACAGUUAUCUCCCAUUCCUGUCUUCAGAGCAGGAUGGGUGACUUACCUGUGUACUUCCUCUCUGCACAGAUGAGGAGACAGAAAAAGAUCUCAACUUGCCAAAGUACACGGUGCUGAUGGAGCCAGACCAUCACCACAUCCCACUGAUAAACUUCAGCCGGGGAAUUAAUAUUUUUGGUCUAUUAAUAUCAUUCCUGGAUGUAAUGCAAACCAUUUCCAACACCUCCAUUGUUUCAGUGCAUACUUUCCUUAUGAGGUUGCCUUUGGUGGCCAGGGGAUUUGCACGCUACAACAAAGUCCUCAUAAAUUUCCAAACAAUAGUCCCUGGUAUCUGCCUCUCUGGCUGAAGGACAGACAUUGCAACUUUGGACUCACUUUCUUCCAAAUACGCAUACUACUAAAGACAGAGGAUCUGUCAGUCCUUAAUAAUCAGUACCCUACUGGAGUGUGUCACUUUUGUAGCAUUUAGGAAAGACAGACUUUCAGGAAGAUGGUCAGAAGUAUAGCUUUCCUUGGGCUAAAUACUCAAAGUGAGAGUAAUACCCCAAAUAAAGGACAGCCAACAAAGUCCAGUGAGGAACUCUCUAAAAAUUAAGAGGAAAUUUAGAGAAAAAUACCAUCUCUGGUCCAGUUACCAAUAACUGCUCCAUGGGGAGGUGGGGAAGGGUGAGGAAGAGGGUCCCUGGGCUGGGACCCUCCCUGAAAACUCUUACUCCAGUGCAUUUGGGUUUACACGAACUGUUUUAAAAAGAAAAAGAAAUGUAAAUGCCAGUGAAGGCAGGACGGGUUACUGGUAUUCAAAUACUAAGCUUGUGAUCAUAGUAGAUGUCAUGUGGGUCACUGUCCAAAAACAAGGUGGAAGCACAUAACAAUGAUAACACCAAAGGAGCCAGAAGACCUGGGGAAAGAAGCCAGAGGUCCCCUUGCUGUCGAGUAGGUGGUGGUUGGUGGCAGCAGCGGUACCAAAGAUGGUCCUGGAAGUAAUAACCUCACUCUGGUGCAUAUGCAAACAUUAUCUCAUUUAAUCUCCCCAACCCAGGGAGGCAGGUGUCCUGUAUCAAGUGCACAAACAUGGACACUGAGGCUUGCACAUGGACAGAUUCGGUGCUUGCACAAGAUCACACCAUAUGCAAGCAGGGCCACGUUGCAACCCACAUAUAACUUUCAAGCCCUUACAGCAAUGUGGAAAUGAAUAAUUCAAAAGUGAAUUCCAGAAACUUUCCUGACCGAAAGUGAAUCUUGGCAUUGAUACUAUACAGGCAGCGAGACUUGCCCAAAAGCAAUUUUAAAAGAAAGGCUCCACCCCUCUUUCCAAUUCCAGGCACCUACUUGUCAAGGUUUUAGAUUAAAGAGAGAGAGAGAGGAUCCUAUAAACACCAUGAAGAAAUGAGAGCUGAGACCUGUAUGUUCUGGAAUUCAUCCACUAGACUUCUGCAAUGAGAAUACUCUAGAAAGUGUUCAUUAGAGUUUGGGUAUCACGUCUCUGAUCUGUAUUCCCAGUAGGUAUUUCGAACAUAGCAUACCUGACUUAACCUGGCUUUCCCCCUGAAGACCUGUCCUGCCCCUCAUUUCCUCCUUUUGUGUUCACCGGAGCUCCACAGACCCCCAUGUGCAGGGUCACACCUCCUCUGUCCUCAGACAAGGAGUCUCUCUG